rnacentral:misc_RNA from 1 species
AAGACUAUAGACCUGCGGAGUACCUGCGGAAGGAUCAUUACCGAGUUAUACAACUCAUCAACCCUGUGAACAUACCUAUAACGUUGCCUCGGCGGGAACAGACGGCCCCGUAACACGGGCCGCCCCCGCCAGAGGACCCCCUAACUCUGUUUCUAUAAUGUUUCUUCUGAGUAAACAAGCAAAUAAAUUAAAACUUUCAACAAUGGAUCUCU